rnacentral:rRNA from 1 species
GAUGAACGCUGGCGGCGUGCCUAACACAUGCAAGUCGAACGGCAGCACGCUAAGAUUGUUUUUUUGCUGUUAGCGGCGGGCGGGCGAGUAACACGUGGAUCAGCUUCUUCUCUUUCGUGGAUAAUUACGGAAAAACGGUUCUACUAAUAGAGAAUAUUUUCUACCGUAUGGUUCAAAAGAGCAUGGCAGCUUUGGCGUCUCUAAUAGCUGGUUCCGCGCUGCAUUGGCUAGUUGGUAAGGUCACAGCUUACCAAGGAUACGAUGCGGAGCCGACCUGAGAGGGUGAUCGGCCACACUGGAACUGAGACACGGUCCAGACUCCUACGGGAGGCAGCAGUAGGGAAUGUGGGGCAAUGGGCGAAAGCCUGACGCAGCAACGCCGCGUGGGUGAUGAAGGUCUUCGGAUCGUAAAGCUCUGUUAUUGGGAAAGAACAGAUGUAGAAGAAACUGUGGACAUCUUGACGGUACCUAAUCAAAAAGCAACGGCUAACUUCGUG